GAAAGACUAAGCAGUUGUCGCACUGGCGCCC
rnacentral:sRNA from 1 species